AGUCCUAUCCCUACGGUCCUGGAAUUGGGGGUUACUAUCUUGGAAUCUAGGGGCACUCCAGGCUCUGGGCUCAGACGGCUGGCUUCUGCCUACCCGAGCCUUAACCUUUCAAGGACCAGAAGGAUUCCAGAGCUCUUGCCCUAGGUCCUGGGGCAGCGAUGACUCACUGCAGCACCCCCUCCCACUUCGCCAAGCUGCCGUCUCCGCCCACCCCCAAACAAUCUCGACAGCGCAUUUCGGGAGCCACGGCUCCGGGCGCUUUGCUGGGGGCUAAAGGGGUUUAUCCCUUUCCUUGAAUCCCAGCAGGCUAGAACUACCCCCUCCCAGUCUUCAGGCUUGCCACGCUCUCCACCCGAUCCUUCCAUUGAAAGGCAGAGAAGGAAGGAUGUGCUUGGGAACUUUAAGACCCACGAACGACAGCGCACUGAUGGAGCAGCCCAGUGUCUGGGGCAAAGUCCUCGAGGUUCAUUCAUUCAGGAAGCCUCUGACCAGCCUUUACCAUGCGCUGAGUGAGAAGCUGAGGAUAAGGAAAGAGCAAGACCCCCAAGAAACCCUGAUGUCUGGCUGAAAGCCGAAGCAUGACGCAACUUUGCUAUAUUUCUCUCCAACAAGGAUUUGUAUAUUUUCGCUUUCUCCUCAAGUAACACCUGGACCUGCUCCUUUCCCUUCAAACGCUGAGGGCUCAGUCUCCAAGUUCCUUUAUGAAACAGGGUGUACCAUCAGAGACGCAGGUAAGAAACCUGAACUGCGUGGCCUCACAUAAACCCCACCACACCUCUGUCCUGGGCUCCUUCCCCGCAACAGGUGUAAAGACAAAAGGCUCAUUGUCCUUUGGAGCCUAUAGGAUAAACAGAAAGAACAUGUCCUUGCCGGUUAAUCUGCCGGUGAUAAAGAGUAUUGUUUUAUCUCCUGCCAUCUCCACGUUCCAAGAGAUGAAUUCUAUUGUGACACAAAGUCUGCUUUGUCCUUCCAACCCACUGAGAUGUUUAAAUUGGCCUCUCAUAUAUUCCUUGGUUGUCACAAUAAGAGCAAUGAGUUGUUAUAAUGUGUUGAGAGGAUCUUUCCCCCAUGACAAGGAGACCAUCAUCUACAGAGAUGCUAUGAUGCUGAGAAAUAAUGUGCUUCUCUUCUGCUCUAAUUUUUUUUAAUUAAGACUUUUAUUUUUUGAGCAGUUAUAGGUUUAGAGAAAAAUUGAAGGGAAAGUACAGAGAGUUCCCAUCUUCUCUCACCCCUUUCAUCUCUGUUUCCAUACGUUUGCUACAAAUGAUGAGCCAACAGCCAUACGUUAUUAACUAAAGUUCACAGUUUACAUUAGGGUUCACUCUUUGCUUGUACAUUCUAUGGGUUUUGUCAAAUAUAUGAUAACCUGUAUCCUCCAUUAUAGUACAAUACAGAAGAAUCUCACUGCCCUAAAAAUCUCCUGUGUUCCUCCUGUGCAUCCCUCCCUCCCAUCCCCUGGGGAACCACUGAUCUUUUUGCUGGCUCCAGUUUUACCUUUUUCAGAAUGUGAGGUAGUUGGGAGUCAUACAGUAUAUGUGUAUAUAUAUAUGUGUAUAUAUAUGUGUAUAUACAUAUAUAUAUACACAUAUAUAUACAUAUAUAUAUACACAUAUAUAUACAUAUAUAUAUAUAUAAAAAAUAGCCUUUUUAGAUGGAUGUCUUUCCCAUAGCAAUAUGCAUUGAACUUUCCUCCAUGACUUUGUGUGGCUCAAUAGUUCAUUUAUUUUUGUUGCUGAAUAGCUUCUGCUUAAUUUUCAAAGUGUUUAAUGUAAGAAAGCGGUAUAGUCCAGGCGCAGUGGCUCAACACCUGUAGUCCCAGCACUCUGGGAGGCGGAGGCGGUGGAUCACUUGAGCCCAGGAGUUUGAGACCAGCCUGGGUAACAUGAUAAAACCUUGUCUCCAUAAAAAAUACAAAAAUUAGCUGGAAAUGGUAGUGUGCGCUUGUAGUCCCAGCUACUCAGGAGGCUGUGGUGGGAGGAUUGCUUAAGCCCAGGAGCUAGAGCCUAUAGUGAGCCAUGAUUGUGCCACCGCACUCCAGCAUGGGUGACAGAGUGAGAUCCUGUCUCAGAAAAAAAAAAAAAACAAAAAAAAAAAAACCCAGAAACAACAACAACAAAACGGCAGUAUAUUUGUCCCCACCCUCAUCUCUUCCUUUAUGGGUAUUUCCCUAAUUGUGAGAGAUUACCUGUGUUUUAAAAGGUGGCUUACUGUAUGCAUUGAGAAAAUUAAAUGACAUUUCAGACCAGUUCCAAGUACCUUUUGCAAAGCUAGAGAAAUAAAAGUGAAUUCUAGUAUCUCAAUCACAGAGUAAAACUAGAGAAGGUCUGUUGGGCUUCAGGCAACAUUGGUGUUCUUGGCAAUUUUACCCAGAAGAAUUUAUAUUCCUAUAAUUAGUAUUUCCUCCAAAAUUAAUGAUCGCCUGAUUGAUUUAUUUCUUUCCUAGCAGCACUGGAGGUCCCACUUACCUAGUUAGUAAUAACAUUUGCUCUUAAUACAUGAGUCAGUUUUCUUUUUUCCUUUUUUCUUUUUCUUUUUUUUUUUACAUUUCCAAAACAGAAUACCCUGCAGGAAGAAUGGGAUGGCAGUGGAGGAGCUCUCACUCACAUAUCAUGUAAUGUGGGAGGCAGGGCUAUGCGAUAGUCAUAAAGGGUGCAGGCUUCAGAAUCAAAGGAGUGAGGUUGGUGUCCCUGCUUACGCCCUACUAGCUGAGUGUCCUUCAGGUCAUUUCUCCUCUCUCAGACUCAGUGGACUGUUUCCUAAAGCACAGCUCAUAACAGGCUGUACGUGGUAAGACCGUCGGGAAGAUGGAAGGAGAUCAGUCAUCCCUAGAGAGCAUUAAGCACAGUCUCAGCCACAAAACACUUCCUCAAACAUGAUGCAAGCCACACAGGGCAUUUGGCCUGCGUAUAAAGGACAUACUGAGGACAGUGUAGAUGCUCAAGAAAUUAGUCCUGAAUGAUCAAGGGGGGAAAGAGAGGGUUAAUCUUAUCAUAUGUGGGCUCUCAGAGAACACAGAGCUAUAGAAGGAAGCUGACUUAAUAAGGGUCAAGCAUGAUAGGGGAGAUUAGGAACCGUGUGCAAUCUAAUGGAACCACAGAUAACACCUUCUAGUACUUUUUCCCUUUGGCCCUGCCCCUGCUGAGACAGGGCCACUGCUAAUAACUCACAUUCUUCUCUUCUCUCCUCUCAAAAAGCCCAUUUCCUGAGCAAGUAUAUGCUUUGGUAAGGUCAUUAGCGGUCAACAUGGUUCCCAAGUUUAGUGAAUACUUUCAGAUAAAACUGAAGGGUACAAAAUCACUCUUUCCUCUCUCCCUCUCCUUGUCCUACCUCUCACAAUAAAACGACUUAUCUACUAAUUACAAAGACCUCAAUAGUGGAAGAAAUCCAUAUCCUACAUAACAUGGAGAGCUAGCUAUAUACCCUUGGCAUCAGUUUUUAUCCUACUUUUACUUUUUACUGACUUUCAUUUACUGAACAAAGCCUCCUUUGCCAAAGGCAGGGUAAAUAAACUCAGUCACAUCCUGUCUUCCUUACAUCUUUGUUUAUCCAUAAACUGUCGAAGAUACAGAUGAAAAUCCACUAAAGCAUGCUUGAAGCGGUUACACGAAGGCCAAAUAAGAUGGGAAUGGAAAUGCCUGAUGUUAAGGGAAGAUACUACCUAAAAUGAUACUGAGCUGGCCAGUGUAAUGACAUGAAAACAAAACAAAAAAA
rnacentral:lncRNA from 1 species